AUACGUAGGGUGCGAGCGUUGUCCGGAAUUACUGGGCGCAAAGAGCUCGUAGGUGGUUUGUCGCGUCGCCUGUGAAAUUCCGGGGCUUAACUCCGGGCGUGCAGGCGAUACGGGCAUAACUUGAGUACUGUAGGGGAGACUGGAAUUCCUGGUGUAGCGGUGAAAUGCGCAGAUAUCAGGAGGAACACCGGUGGCGAAGGCGGGUCUCUGGGCAGUAACUGACGCUGAGGAGCGAAAGCAUGGGUAGCGAACAGGAUUAGAUACCCUGGUAGUCCAUGCCGUAAACGGUGGGCGCUAGGUGUAGGGGUCUUCCACGACUUCUGUGCCGUAGCUAACGCAUUAAGCGCCCCGCCUGGGGAGUACGGCCGCAAGGCUAAAACUCAAAGGAAUUGACGGGG
rnacentral:rRNA from 1 species